rnacentral:rRNA from 1 species
GACAGAGGCCUCGAGCGUUAGGCGGAAUCACUGGGCUUAAAGCGUGUGUAGGCGGGCCCGUAAGUACCUUGUGAAAUCCCACGGCUCAACCGUGGAACGGCUGGGUAUACUGCGGGUCUUGGGCCAACUAGGGGCAACCGGAACAAACGGUGGAGCGGUGAAAUGCGUAGAUAUCGUGUGGAACGCCAAUGGUGAAAACAGGUUGCUGGGAGUGCGCUGACGCUGAGACACGAAAGCCAGGGGAGCAAACGGG